CUUGCUUCUCUUUGAGAGCGGCGGACGGGUGAGUAAUGCCUAGGAAUCUGCCUGGUAGUGGGGGAUAACGUCCGGAAACGGACGCUAAUACCGCAUACGUCCUACGGGAGAAAGCAGGGGACCUUCGGGCCUUGCGCUAUCAGAUGAGCCUAGGUCGGAUUAGCUAGUUGGUGGGGUAAUGGCUCACCAAGGCGACGAUCCGUAACUGGUCUGAGAGGAUGAUCAGUCACACUGGAACUGAGACACGGUCCAGACUCCUACGGGAGGCAGCAGUGGGGAAUAUUGGACAAUGGGCGAAAGCCUGAUCCAGCCAUGCCGCGUGUGUGAAGAAGGUCUUCGGAUUGUAAAGCACUUUAAGUUGGGAGGAAGGGCAGUAAAUUAAUACUUUGCUGUUUUGACGUUACCGACAGAAUAAGCACCGGCUAUCUCUGU
rnacentral:rRNA from 1 species